rnacentral:rRNA from 1 species
UACGUAGGGUGCGAGCGUUGUCCGGAAUCAUUGGGCGUAAAGCGCGCGUAGGCGGCCCGGUAAGUCCGCUGUGAAAGUCAAAGGCUCAACCUUUGAAUGUCAGCGGAUACUGCCGGGCUAGAGUCCGGAAGAGGCGAGUGGAACUCCUGGUGUAGCGGUGGAAUGCGCAGAUAUCAGGAAGAACACCAACGGCGAAGGCAGCUCGCUGGGACGGAACUGACGCUAAGGCGCGAAAGCGCGGGGAGCGAACGGG